ACAUGCAGUCGAACGAUGAACCACUUCGGUGGGGAUUAGUGGCGAACGGGUGAGUAACACGUGGGCAAUCUGCCCUGCACUCUGGGACAAGCCCUGGAAACGGGGUCUAAUACCGGAUACUGAUCCUCGCAGGCAUCUGCGAGGAUCGAAAGCUCCGGCGGUGCAGGAUGAGCCCGCGGCCUAUCAGCUAGUUGGUGAGGUAACGGCUCACCAAGGCGACGACGGGUAGCCGGCCUGAGAGGGCGACCGGCCACACUGGGACUGAGACACGGCCCAGACUCCUACGGGAGGCAGCAGUGGGGAAUAUUGCACAAUGGGCGAAAGCCUGAUGCAGCGACGCCGCGUGAGGGAUGACGGCCUUCGGGUUGUAAACCUCUUUCAGCAGGGAAGAAGCGAAAGUGACGGUACCUGCAGAAGAAGCGCCGGCUAACUACGUGCCAGCAGCCGCGGUAAUACGUAGGGCGCAAGCGUUGUCCGGAAUUAUUGGGCGUAAAGAGCUCGUAGGCGGCUUGUCACGUCGGUUGUGAAAGCCCGGGGCUUAACCCCGGGUCUGCAGUCGAUACGGGCAGGCUAGAGUUCGGUAGGGGAGAUCGGAAUUCCUGGUGUAGCGGUGAAAUGCGCAGAUAUCAGGAGGAACACCGGUGGCGAAGGCGGAUCUCUGGGCCGAUACUGACGCUGAGGAGCGAAAGCGUGGGGAGCG
rnacentral:rRNA from 1 species